rnacentral:sRNA from 1 species
CUUUAAUCGAUCUUUCAAAAGAGGCGCAUGACCAGGUAUUACCUGGUCAUGCGCCUCUUUCAUGC